rnacentral:lncRNA from 1 species
CGGAAAGCUUUUAUGGAGCGGUUGUGGUCACCUACCGUGGGUGGGAUUACUGAGGGCACGUGAGUGCUCUGUGGAGUUUGCACUGAAAACCAAGGAGGAGCACUGGAGUACGACAUCUAUAGGUUUGUGAGCUCAGCUUCUCUUCUGCAGCAGAAACCAAACACUGAUGUCUGUCUGACAGAAGACAGAACAGACCAGGAGUCAGCUUCUGAAAUAGUAUACGAUCCUAGGCUGGAAAACACAGUGCUGAACACGGCUCCAUUCAAUACAUGACUGGAACAGAGGUUUCAGUUCUCUGAAAGCUUCACCAGAGACAGAGAGAGGGAUGAAAUGCACAGGUUGGAUGCAGUCUUCCACCCAAAAGGACCCUGGAAUCAAUGCUAUUUGGUCAGAUUUAAAGCAAUAUAAAAAAUGAGGCCUUUUCUGGAAAAUUUUAGUUUAUCAUAUUACAGUAUGUUUACUGAUUUCAGGUUUACUAGUAAAACUCAAUCCCAAUAAAAACAGAUCAGAAUCUCUGUCUUUUUAUCACCAAUAUAGUUCCCAUGUUUUCCCCAGCUUUUGCUUCCCUCCUGCUUUCUUUCUCCCUUGAACUGUACAACUAAUGCUGUCUUAUGUGCAUACAGCACUAUUAUCCUUAGAGUACACUCAGAACAUAGUUAAUUUACUACUACCUGCUGC